AGAAAACAAAUUAAACACAUGUGAAAAGCAGUGAAUUAUGAAAUUUGAUAUUUUCUAAUUAUAUACCUACAAAUAUUAUUUAAAUUCGUUAUUACCGUCGCUAGAGCUACGUAUAGAUAACACAAUAGGGCAGUAUUCUACGGAAUCAAUUGUCGAGCGGAUUGUAAACAAUCUUAGUAAAACCUAAUUCGACAAAUUCAAAUAAUUCCACGGAUAAGCGGUCCAUAUUGUAAACGAAGAGUGACGAGAAAGACUAAAUGAUAAUUUUAACUCUCGCAAUAAAGGAGAUUAAAAUAACAGAAGACGUCUCGUUAUCUUUCUUGUUGACCAGGAAGUCAACAAAUUAAAAUUAUCAUUUAAUACCUGUUAAUGAUGAUCGGUCGAACUCCUAUUAAAACCAGAUCGGUGUCAGCAGCCAGCGCGGCUAAUGCAGCGCCGACAGCGGUGGAUCAUGGCAACAACUGCAAGGCAUGCACUGGCCAAGACAACACUCGAAUGGCUCAGUGCGACCAAUGUGACGACUGGUACCACUAUGCGUGCGUCGAGGUCACGCAAGGUGUAGAAGAUCGUGACUGGCUGUGUCCUGUGUGUCAACCAUCCAAAGGAGUCGAACAGAGUUGCUUCGUGCAUAAUCUCCAUACGAGUCAGUCAGUGAGUAAUCAUCCGUUUCCCAACCCAGUCGUUCGGGUAUCAUCGGUACCGUUGAACAUUUUUCCUAGUAUAUCAGCAAGCUGCAACACAAAUGAAUCGAUAUUAACCCAUGUCGCUUCGAGCAAGAUGUUUCCACCCUUGAGUGUCAAUAAUGCGCCCAGUGCAAUAGUAUCACGAAACCCAGUAGAAAAUACCGCCAUGCUGAUGCCGCCAAACA